rnacentral:tRNA from 1 species
GCAUGUCUAGCAGAGUGGUAUGUGGUGUUUUGGCGUAGCAGUAGGUCGUGGGUUCGAUCCCAGUGGCGCCCC